UACACAUGAUGAAUACAUGUCUGAAACUCUGAGGUCCAUCACAAAAGAAAUCUGGCCCAUUCCUUCUGAUUCAGGUGAUCCUAUGAAUAUACAAUGUGUUUGCUUUUGGUCUUUGGGUUUGUUCACUUCACUGUAUUAUUAUAAUUGGAUCAAUGAAAUAAUUUAUACGUAUACAUGGAAGAUGAUAAACACAGAUCAUGGAGGACUGUUUUAUCUGUUUGUGAUCUGCCGUCCUCUGUGAGCCUCAGGAUGGAUGUUUGCCAGCCGAUUCCAUGGUUACAAGCUCUAUAGCUGCAUCUAUGUGUUAGGAGCAUGAAGACCAAUAAUGGAUGCACUGAGCUGAUUAUGAAUUUAGCCCUGAUGAAGACUUGUGUUGCUGUCAUGAUAUGAAAGAUUCCAAAUGAACGCACUUGAGUUGAUUCAAGCACGCUUCCAUGGUCAUGAGCUCUGUGGUUGCAUCUGUGUGUUAGGAGCAUGCAGACCAAUAGUGAUAAUCUCGAGGUGAUUUAUGCAUUCUUCCAUGGCCACCAGCCUUAUGAUUGCAUCUGUGCGUCACAGCUUAGAGAUCAAUAAUGGAUGCAACAAGCUCUUUGAAUCAUUCUGUUGGGAUCAAGAUUGUUGUGUUCCCUCUGUUUGGAAAGAGACCAAGAAUGGAUACGCUCAGGUGAUUUAAGCAGUCUUCCAUGGCCACGAGCUCUGUGGUUGCCUCUGUAUAUUAAGAGCACAGAGAUUAAAAAUGGGUGCACUUGAGCCGAUUGAAACAUUCCUCCUUGCAUCUUUCUUCUGUGAUUGCAUCUAUUUGUUAGUAGCAUAGAGACCAAUAAUAGAUGGCUUGUGCUGAUGGAAGGAUUCCUCCCUGGUGACAUGCUGUGUCUGCCUCUUGAUUGGGAGCACGCAGACCUACAAUGAUGCACUUUUUAUGAUUUGAGAAUUCCUUCAUGGUCACGUGCUCUGUUUUUAUCAUGGUUGGGAGCCUGCAGAGCAAUAAGGGACAUGCCUUUGCUGAUUUGAGGAUUCCUCUGAGGUUGGGAGCUAAGUUUGCAUCAUGCUUAGAAAGGAGUGUGCAGACCUGUAAUGAUUGCACUUUGCUGAUUGAAGGAUUCCUUCAAGUCCAUGUGCUCCACUUGCACCAUUUUUAGGAUGGAGCCUGGAGACCUAUAAUGAACAACUUGUGCUGUGUUAAGGAUUCCUCCAUGAUCACGCGCCCCAUUUGUACACCAUGCUUGGGAAGGUGCAUGCAGACCAAUGUUAGUAAUAGUCAAAAUUCCUGUGUCGGUUUGUGUGGUUUGCUAAACAGGACUCAAUGUAUCAUGAAACAGUGUAUUAUAUAGUCAACUAUGGUCAACUAUGUCCCAGUGAUAUUUAUGAGAGGGAUCUGAAGUAUUUAUUGAUAAUGCAUAUAUGAAAAACGGAGAAGAAUUAAUGAAACAGAUAUAUCUGUGUUAGAAUGAUUCUGUAUAAAGAUAGGGAAUAUCAAGUCUGUUCUUAGUGUUUUGUGAAUCACAGAGUGUAAAAUUAUUCCCAGUGAAUUAAUGAAUAAAUUUAAAGACAACAUAGAAAUGAAUGCAGAAAAA
ensembl:lncRNA MEG8 maternally expressed 8, small nucleolar RNA host gene